GGAGGGGUGCAAGCGUUAUUCGGGAAUCACUGGGCGUAAAGAGCGCGUAGGCGGUUUCUAAAGUCAGAUGUGAAAGCCCGGGGGCUCAACCUCGGAAGUGCAUUUGAAACUUAGGGACUUGAGUAUGGGAGAGGGAAGUGGAAUUCCUGGUGUAGCGGUGAAAUGCGUAGAUAUCAGGAGGAACACCGGUGGCGAAGGCGACUUCCUGGACCAAUACUGACGCUGAGGCGCGAAGGCGUGGGGAGCAAACAGGAUUAGAUACCCUGGUAGUCCACGCAGUAAACGUUGAACACUAGGUGUAGCGGGUAUUGACCCCUGCUGUGCCGCAGCUAACGCAUUAAGUGUUCCGCCUGGGGAGUACGGCCGCAAAGGCUAA
rnacentral:rRNA from 1 species